AUUAUGACGGUACCCAUAGAAGAAGCCCCGGCUAACUUCGUGCCAGCAGCCGCGGUAAUACGAAGGGGGCAAGCGUUGUUCGGAAUUAUUGGGCGUAAAGGGUGCGUAGGCGGUUUGACAAGUCUGAUGUGAAAUCUCUGGGCUCAACCCGGAGGCUGCAUCGGAAACUGUCGGGCUUGAGUAUGGGAGAGGUGAGUGGAAUUUCCGGUGUAGCGGUGAAAUGCGUAGAUAUCGGAAGGAACACCUGUGGCGAAAGCGGCUCACUGGACCAUUACUGACGCUGAGGCACGAAAGCUAGGGGAGCAAACAGGAUUAGAUACCCUGGUAGUCCUAGCCCUAAACGAUGAUUGCUUGAUGUGGG
rnacentral:rRNA from 1 species